rnacentral:rRNA from 1 species
AGAACGAACGCUGGCGGCAGGCCUAAUACAUGCAAGUCGAACGCACUCUUCGGAGUGAGUGGCAGACGGGUGAGUAACGCGUGGGAACCUUCCCAAUGGUACGGAAUAACUCCGGGAAACCGGUGCUAAUACCGUAUAAGCCCCUCGGGGGAAAGAUUUAUCGCCAUUGGAUGGGCCCGCGUCGGAUUAGCUAGUUGGUAAGGUAAUGGCUUACCAUGGCGACGAUCUGUAGCUGGUCUGAGAGGAUGAUCAGCCACACUGGGACUGAGACACGGCCCAGACUCCUACGGGAGGCAGCAGUGGGGAAUAUUGGACAAUGGGCGCAAGCCUGAUCCAGCCAUGCCGCGUGAGUGAUGAAGGCCUUAGGGUUGUAAAGCUCUUUUACCUGGGAAGAUAAUGACGGUACCAGGAGAAUAAGCCCGGCUAACUUCGUGCCAGCAGCCGC